GGCUUUUAGGACACCCGACAGCAUCUAGCACAAUCUGGCUUAAUAAAUGUUUGGUAUUGGUACUAGUCAAGAUGUUACACUCCUCCCACCCCCACCGCAACCAAAUGUCCUUGAACCUUGCUAUCUCUAUCUCAGUAGCUAAAAGCAAAACCCUAAUUCUGUCUUUGAACAAAAUAAGCUGUGCAUUGACUCUUUUAUUUCCUCUCCUCCUAGAUUUUGAAGAAGUCCUGCAUCGAAAUUCUAGCAGCUGAACCAUCCACCAUAUGUGCAGGAGAGUCAUUUCAAGUUGUCGUGAGAGGAAACGGCUUCCGACACGCCCGCAACGUGGACAGGGUCCUCUGCAGCUUCAAGAUCAAUGACUCGGUCACACUCAGUAAGUCCUUGCAGAGGGUUUCUUCAACAACUGGCUUCAGGGAAGGGAAUUCCCACCCUUGUCUUCCAGCAAGGCCACACACAUGAAACCAGCAGAAAA
rnacentral:sRNA from 1 species